ensembl:snoRNA small nucleolar RNA SNORA61
AACUUGAAGCUGGAACUUCUCAUUAGAUCUGAAUGCUGGUCUUCGUUAUCAUAGAGGGAGGAAAAAGAACACUGAAGCUGGCCUCCCAGUGCUUAUAGUCUGGUAUAUAGGUUGUGGGCUAGUUUCAAACAAGG